rnacentral:rRNA from 1 species
GACGAACGCUGGCGGCGUGCUUAACACAUGCAAGUCGAGCGGUAAGGCCCUCGGGUACGACGAGCGGCGAACGGGUGAGUAACACGUGGGCGACCUGCCUCUAGCUCUGGGAGUAAAGCCUGGGAAACGUAGGGUCGUAAUACCGGAUAUGACUCCACGGCGCAUGUUGUGGGGUGGAAAGCCUUGUGUGGCUAGAGAUGGGCCCGCGGCCUAUCAGCUUGUUGGUGGGGGG